AGGAGCUGGUUUCCUGCAUGCCCAUCUGUUUGGCCUUUGAAAUACUUAUACUAAGAAGCUAUAACCUGAAUGGCUCUGGAAAGUAACAUCAGUGUGGAUGUCACGGAUGCAGUCUGGAAAGGAAGGUCCCGGUCCCUGAGAAAGGAAUCGUAUGCUGAGUGCUUCCACUCCCUGAAGAAAGUGUGGGAAGAGUGGGCAACUCAGAGUUGGAUCCAAACCAGCUGAACUGCAAAGACAGAGAGGCUGAAAUAAAACCACUUCAGUGAUGG